ensembl:lncRNA
GGCCCGCCCACUGCGAAAGUUUCCGAGCUAACUCGGGCCGUGCUGCCCAGACUGAACCCUUGCACGCCACGGCACACCCACAAGGCGUCCGGGUUGCUGUGCCCGGCUGCAAGCCCACGGGCGAGGCUCAAGACGACCUUUCACCCACUACUCUGGCCCCAGGCUCCCCAACUUCAGAUUUAUUAUCACUGCUCUUGCAAUAUUAACUGACACGGUGCCCCACCUCUGUCCCAUCGCUAUCUUCUUGUGUGACCCUGUGAGGCCCACAGAAGAACGAAGGAGCCAGGCAUCCAGCAGCACUAGCUUUGCUCCAGGCUCAGUUUGGGGGGCUUUCACAUGUUUUUCAUUUCACCCCCAAUAACCCUGUGAGGCAGGUAGCUUUGGGUUCAUCUUUCUUGAUGAGAAGAUUGAGGCUCAGGCAUAGAAGGUUUAUUUGUCCAGAGUCAUACAGAAUUCUUUCCCCCAUACAG